rnacentral:lncRNA from 1 species
UCGGUAGUGGCAGCUUGUCACCGGCAAUUGAUAAUUGCAGCCUGUAUGGCCGCGGGACCUAGUAGUCUCAUCCACUAUAUCUUCAGCUGUUGCAUUCGUAAUCGGUGGUAUGUAGGUGCAUUUACUUUAUUUUCUUUCUGCAUUGUUUUUCCCUACUAAAAAUUGUUUUGUUUGGGGCUUGCUAUUAACAUUUGCAUUAUGUGCUUGCAGGAGCAGAGGACUAAUAUUCAGAAGGAACGCAGAAGGUUGGUCGAUGCAAGAUUAAGAGAAGUUGAAUAACGAGGUAAGUCCUUCAGCUCUUCUUUUAUUUGGUGCACCGGCCUUUUAAUGACACCAUGUUACUUUCAGCUCGUAUUAGUUGAAAUGUACAUGUUAUUUAUACCUCAUCCAUGUGGCAUACCCCCUCUUCCAAAUAAGGCUUUACAAUAUGGAACACUGCAUCUGUGCUAAUGCGUGACUUUGUUGCUGAAUAGAGAGUGAUUGCAAAAUUAAUAAGCUCUUAUGAAAUUGUAAUACGCUUCCUACAGAGAGAGAUUUUGCCCAUUUGCCAUGAUUAUCUACUGUUGUGCUACCAGACUACCAUAAUAGAGGUGGGUAAGCUCCUAGUUUAGUGUCAGGUUCUGCACAAAGGCCUAUUCGUCUGACAAACAGGCAAGGGUUGUUCCAACACUACUAGUCAUCUAGUCCCCCCUUUCCCAUUGUCCUGAAAAAAUCAUUGACAUUUGGAUACCCUUGGAUAAUUGUAUUCAACACAGUACAGUCACGGGCCCACUCACACCAUAUUGCUGCAAACACUGUAUCCCUCUGUCCCCUUACAAUCCAUAUUGCUGCUGUCCUCCUGAAGUUCUUUUCAUUGCGACUGCUUCACCAGUGUGCUGGUUUUGGUGAACGUGUUGUUGUGGGCUUGUGGCAAGUAUUUGAUUUUAGCAAGGUGAAUGGUUCGCAGCUUGGCAUGCAUCAGUGAGCAAGUAGCUGGUUUAACACACUGCUGCCAGUCUGCCGUGUAGUGAGAUCCUGAUUGUUUUCGGCGAGUACUAUGCUAGGCGGAGGUUGAUGUUAUUCAGUCUUGUGGCAUAACGGCACUCUUCCAGAUCUGUGAAAGAUACCAGUCGCCAGACUGAUCAGAAAGAUAUCAUUUCAUUGCCUCACACAAUGUAUUUGUGCUCAUUUGCUUAACACUAUUGAUUUCAUCAUGUGGCUCAUUGUAACUUGCAUUUUCUUGAGACUUCAAAAAGUUUAUUAGUACUUGUGUGUUUUGGCCUUCAAGUUUUUUAGCCUUCAGAUGCGCAAAGCUGUUCAUACUGACUGACAAGAUGAAUUUUUUUUGAAACGAACCUGGCAGGAGAGCUGCCGAUUAUGUUAAAAAGAAGAAAUCCAGACUGGAUAAAUACAAUCGAUCAAAAAUGAAAUAAGGCAAAAACUGAACCAGAAAAACAAAACAACACUAUGAACUCAAUCGCAAUCAGCAUCGCGCCAGUAAAGUGGAGAGAUGUUUCGCUCCCGCCAUAAUCCACACGGCAGCCUCGUCUUUGAUCCUCUCAAAGAUCAUGUUGACAGUAGACUCCUUACUGUUAAAUAUUCUCAUAUUCCUUUCCCUCCAGAUUGUCCAUGUAACUAGCAUGAUCAAAGUUCGCAUGCCUCUCUUAGAGCAGGAAUUUGCUCCCGAUCUCAUCGACCACCAGUGAUGCAGCGUAUCUGCUUGUUGCCAGGCCCUCGGGUGGAUUGCUGGCGCUGACAACCAGUCCACCACCAUGGCCCAGAUUCUUGUUGUGACCCGGCAUUCGGCGAAGAGGUGUAACGCUGAUUCUUGUGAUCUUCGACAUAGUGGGCAGGUAGCUUGAUUUGGCCAUCCCCUUUUCUGAAGCUUGUUAGCAGUCCAAAGCCGAUUUUGGAUUGUGAGCCAGGAGAAGGUUUUGCAGCUUCUAGGAGCCCAUAUUUUCCAAAUCAAGCUGUCAAAGUUGGUGGAUGCCGAACCAAUGAACUGUGCGUCGUAAGUGGAUUUUGCGGAGUAGCUACCAUCUGCAGUAAACUUCCAAGUGAUUUCAUCUUGGACACUCGGGCGCAGGGCUACUUGUUGUACGACUUGCCACAGAAGGAUGAAUUCUCGAAAGUGCUGUACAAAGAACCUAUUGUGGUGUAUGUUGAUAUCCUGGAUCCAUGUUCGGUUGUGAAGCGCGUCACGUAAACUCUUGUUCUUCCUUUCUGAAAUGGAGAAAAUACCUGGCGCUAUGUCCUUUGGCCUUUGGCCUUGAACCCAGGCACUAUUCCAAAAGGAAGUUUUUGCUCCAUCGCCUACGUCGAUGCGUGUACAUGCCGCAAAUAAUUUCCUAUCCGUGUUAUUACAUGGAACCUCGGAGCCCACCGAAAGCUUGUCUUCCGCUUUCCACUCAUGCCAAAGCCAUCUGAGCCUCAGUCCUCUUGCAAACUUGUAGAUGUUUAAAAUACCUUCUCCCCCCAGUCUUGUCGGCCUGGCAGACCUUCGCCAAUUCACUUCGCAUUUUCCCCUUGUUAAUGUCGCCGCCCCUGCCCAAAAGAACUUCUUGCGCUUAGCGUCGAUUUUCUUCGUCACCUCUUUGGGGGCCUCCAUUGCCGACAGGAGGUAUACCGCCUGCGAUGUUAAUACUAAUUUGGUGAGUGCUAGGAGGCCCGCCAUAGUCAUGUUCCUCGCAUUCCACGCAGUGAGCUUGCAGGUCGCCUUGUCUAUGACCAACUGGAAGUGUACUCUCUUGAGCCUUGACGUCGUUAGUGGAAGACCAAGAUAUCGCACCAGAAAGGAAGACCGUGUGAUUGGAAUGCCUCCAAAGAUGUCGUCCAUAUUGAGCUCCUCGCAUCUUAUAGGCACCACACUUGAUUUCUCGAAAUUUGUUCUCAACCCCGACGCAUCACCAAAUCUAGUGAGGAGGUCAGCUAAAGCAAUGACAUCCUGCCUAGUCGGAUUUAGGAAAAUAGCUGUGUCGUCGGCGUACAUGGAUGUUUGGAAAUUGAGGGACCUGCCUCGCAGCUUGGAUAUGAACCCUCUUUCAGUGGCCUGCUCCAAUAAAGCUCGUAGCGGUUCGAUUGCAAUCACAAAAGGUAAAGGAGAUAAAGGAUCUCCUUGCUAUAGUCCUCUGUUGUGCCUGAUGGGGCUGUUUGGGACCCCAUUGAGAAGGAUCCUAGAUGAAGAUGUGUAGAAUAGAGAGGCCAUCCAUUCCCGCCAACAAAUGGGGAAGCCCAAGCGUUGAAGUAAACCUAGCAGGUAAUCCCAUCUCACCGAAUCAAACGCUUUGGCGAUGUCAAGCUUAAAAAUUAGUGUCGCAAUUUGUUGCCGAUGGUAGCGAUGUGCCAUGCUCCUGACUGUCAUAAAAUUAUCGUGGAUGCUCCUUUGCUUGAUGAAAGCCAAUUGUGAUUGUGACACAAUGUUUUUCAUGUGCAGAGCCAGCCGCAUGGCGAGCACCUUUGUAAUAAUCUUGAUGAAUGAGUGUAUCAAGCUUAUCGGUCUGAAGUCAGGGACUGCCUCGGCCCCUUCCUUUUUUGGCAACAACACUACGUUGGCCGUGUUGAUUAAAGGCAGGCUCAUGCAACGCAAGUUAUGAAAAGCAUUGGCCGUGUUUAUUUUUUUUUUCUAGAAUACGCAGGAGAGCUGCGCAUCAUUCCAUUAAGAAGAGAUGGAAAUAAUAAUACAACGCGGGCCUAUACCGGGCACACGCACACGGGCAGUAUAACACAGUGCCGAUUACAGGAUUCUGGAGCUACCAAAGAAGACCUUAAGUCCUAACAUCACUGAGUCACAAAACACCAACCCACACUGUGGAGACAAAGCGCCCCGGCUAUGUACCAGGCCGCCGCUUCCGCCGCGACUGCAUCCGCUAGCUGCUGCGGUGUCCUUUGAAUGUUUCCGGCGAAGACCCGAUUAUUGCGCUCUUUCCAAAUGAGCCAGGAGACUAAGGUGAAAGUGGAGUCGAAUCCUCGCUUACUAGCGCCAUGAAAUCCUCGUCUCCGGAGUAACCACCAAUCCAAUAGUGAAGACCCGGCAGCUGGCAAGGAUGAGGCGUUUCCGGUCAGUUGGUCAACUACGUGCCAUACCUGCUGUGUGUAGCUGCAGGUUGCAAGCAGGUGGUCAGAGGUCUCAGACUCCUGGCAGCAUAGACAGCAAUCGUCCCAGCUUUGUAACCCAUGCUUCAUCCGACGAGCCGAUGUCCAGAGCCGCUGCCUUGUAGCAGUCCACAUGAAGAGCUUAACUCGGAGGGGAGCCCACGCUCGCCAGAUGCAUCGGAAGGCCGGAGAUUGAACAGACCCCACGAAGAAGAAAUUGUACGCUGACUUGGCCGAGUAUGAGCCUGACUUCUCCCAACGCCACACAAUCCUAUCCUCAACUCCUUCCUGUAACUGGACGUUGGAUACCGCAUGCCAUAGCUGAACAUAUUGUGCAAUUGCAGCCACUGUUAGUGUCCCGACAAUGUCCCGGAUCCAACUUUUCUCCAUGAGAGCAGACCCCACUGUUCUUGUACUUCUGACAUGAGGCUUGACCAUUAGGCACAGAUCAGGAGCAAGAAUGCAAGGAGAUAGGGAGUCCAGCCAUUGAUCCUCCCAGAAAAGUGCGGUGUUCCCACUGCCCAAUUGCACCCUGGUGGAAAUCUGGAAGGCUUUUUUCAAAGUGCUGCUCUUUUCCAGGGUGUUGGCCAAGCAUUUCCAAGGCCGCCGAUCGUCAGUCCUCUUGAACCACAACCAGCGCAAUCGCAGAGCCACCGAAGCCCGACGGAGGUCUUGGAUACCUAGGCCCCCCACUGUUUUAGGUCGGCAGGCAAUUGGCCAGGUCACAAGGCAUUGCCCACCAUUGGCAGUCGGCUUACCAGCCCACAAGAAUCCUUUCUGGAGUUUGUCAAUUUCCUGGAAGACCCAAGCUGGAAUGUCAAGAGAAAUAAGAUUAUAGGUGCAGGUGGCCGUCAGAACCGAUUGGACCACAGUCAUUCUCCCCGCCUUAUUCAUAAGCUGUGCCUUCCAGUUCGGAAUCUUGCUGGCCACCUUAUCAAUCAAAGGUUGGAACUGAUUCUUCCUAAGGCUUCGUACUGACAGUGGCAUACCAAGGUAUUGUAUAGGAAAACCUACAACUUGGGCUGGAAAGAUGCCACGGAUUCUCUCUACCUGCUGAUCACUGCAUGCAAUUGGUGCAAUGGAGCACUUCUGCAGGUUUGUACGGAGUCCAGAAGCAUUACCAAAGAAAUCCAGAAUCCCUCUGAUAGCAAUAGCAUCCUGAACCACAGGCCGUGCAAAGAUGAUCACAUCGUCAGCAUACAACGAGCACUGAUGACAAAUGGUGUUAUCUGCAGGAGGGGCGAGGACACCCAACUCAGCUGCCCUCCUGAGGAGCCGGUGCAGAACUUCCAUGACAAGUAUGAAAAGCAUCGGCGAAAGGGGGUCGCCUUGUCUCAACCCUCUAGCGUUGUCAAUUAGUCGACCGGGGGAGCCGUUGAGCAGCACUCUGGUGGUGGCCGAAGACAGCAGGACAGAGAUCCAGUCCCUCCAGUUAGUCCCAAAGCCCCUCGCUUGGAGGACUUGCAGGAGAAAUGGCCAGCACACCGUGUCAAAAGCUUUAGAGAUAUCUAACUUGAUUAGCAAACUUGGCUUUCUUUUUCUGUACAGAGUCUUCGCAGCAAGCUCAACAAACUUGAAAUUAUCAUGGAUGGAUCUUCCCUUGACAAAAGCGCUCUGAUUAACAUCCACCAAAUUGUGGAGCUCCUUGCUAAGCCGGUUAGCAAGCAACUUCGUAACUAACUUCGCAAAGCUAUGCACCAGGCUGAUAGGCCUGUAGUCAGCAGGUGAGAAGGCAUCCUGUUUUUUCGGUAUCAGUGUGAUUAGAGAGCUGUUUAACCGGCCAAACUGGAUGCAAGCCCCAUGGUAGAGCGCGUCAAAGCAUGCCAGGACGUCGCGUUUGAUCACCGGCCAAGCCGCUCUAUAGAACUCCGCGGUGAAGCCAUCCGGCCCGGGGGCACGCUCUUUAGGUAGCUCGACGAUGGUUCUCCAUAUCUCCUGUUCAGGGAAUGGAGCUUCCAGGGGAUCCAGGUCCAGUGGCAGUAGUCCCAGCGAAGCAAGGUCAAUAGCCUCAGUUCUGGAAGAAGGUGUUCCAAGGAUCAUCCUGAAGUAAUUGUAUAGAAGUAGCUCCUUUUCAUCAUGUGUGAUAGCAAUGACACCGUUGUGCUCAAGUCUAGCUAUAUGUUUCUUCCUCGUGCGGUGACUGGCAUGGAGGUAAAAUAAUUUAGUAUUGGCGUCACCCUCUUUUAGGAAGAGAAGCCUGGACCGUUGGCGUGCAAUGGUGCGCUCAAGGGAAGAGAGGCCAAGGACUUUGCAUUUGAGCUGAGCCCUCAAAUGAGCUUCAUCUGAUGAUAGGGGCCUGACCUCCUGCGCCCGGUCCAGCCACAGGAUUAGAGCUCUGGCUGUCAUGAGCUGCACUUUGACAUCACCCACUUUCCUACUGCUCCACUGCUGCAGCGCCUUGGAGGUCCUCUUAAGCCUCUGGUCAAGGGAGAUGAACGGGUCGUUUGUGGCCGUCGGCCCAUCCCAGGCCCCCUGGACAGCUGCAAGGAAACCGGGCAUUCGAACCCACCAUGGUUCGAAGUGAAAACGACGCUUGGGGAGAUAGCUGGCGUUGGACGCCAAUAAAAGUGGGCAAUGAUCCGAAAUGUCCGUUGAUAGCGCCUGAAGCGUUGCAAAGCAAUAACAAACUUCCCAAUCCACCGACACAAGAACACGAUCAAGCUGUGCCAUAACCGGAGUUUGUCGCUCAUUACUCCAUGUAUAUCUUCUGCCCUGGAGGUAGAUCUCCUUCAGGUUGACAUCAUCCACGAAGCGCCGAAAGCGGCCGAUAUUGCGACGAUUAAUGUUGGAUGUGCUUUUCUCCGAUGCUCGCAAGAUGAGGUUGAAGUCCCCCACGACAAGCCACCUGGACGAUGCCAGCGAGUGAACUAAGCGCAGUUCGUCAAGGAAUUCAACUUUUUCACCGUCUGGCUGAGGUCCGUAAACGUUAGUCAAAGUCCAAGGCGAGUCAUGGCCUUGUAUUUGAGCUGAAAUGGUUAAGGAGUGGCGUCCCCCAUGCAAACGCACACAAGAAACAUCUGGGCUUUUGCAGGCUAUCAGAAUGCCUCCUCUGGUACCUUCGGCCGGCAGAUAGUCGAACCACGAGAAGGAGCCGCCCAGCAUGCUAGCAAUCGUGAAAGGUGUGAUAGCACUCAAUUUAGUCUCCUGAAUACAAACAAUAGACGCCCUCGAGUCGGACACCAAAGAGCGCAGAGCUUCGCGACGGGAACGAGCGUUCAGACCGCGGACAUUCCACACCAGCAUAUUAAUAUUUGCAACUUCCAUUAGAAAACGUAGCCCCAGUCAGCAGGAUACAACAGUAGCGCAGCGUUAGACGCUGAUCACCUCAGAUUGGCUCACCAGGUGCCUAAGCUGGGCGUCAGUGAGACCGUUAGCCAUUGGAAGGAUGUCACGGAGUGCAGCAAAAUGCUGGGGCUGCACAGAGGACGACAGGAACUUAUCAAAGUUGCGGGGAGUGGCGCAGUUGUCAUCAGCAUCCUGGGACAGAACUCCCAAUUUCUUCAUGGCGAGGAUCUCUCCCUUACGGGAAGGGCGAACAGCAGCAUUGAGCGGUUUGGUGGCGAGCCGGUUGCUACGGCGGGGCGUCUCUUUAAUGAUGGGCGGCGCCACUUGGGUCCGGGGACAUUCUGCCAGCGGGGGAUCCAGGGGCAUUCGAACACUAUGGAGGAAGGCCUCAGUUCUCGCCCGCGCCACCACGGAGGAAGAGGGGGAUGGUGGUAACUCCAACUGUGGUUCCGAAGGCGAAGUCAUCUCCUGCGUCGGCGGCACCUGCUCAGACGGAGAGGGAUCCGCCAGCAACACCGGCGAGCGACGAGGACGCCUGGAAUACGUGCAGGGAGGGGUCGGAUGCUCCCAGGCCUGCAUAACUCCCAGCUCAUCCGAAACCGGCGACUGGUCCCUCGGCAACAAAGAUACAAUAGUAGUUUCAAGCAACAUUGGAUCAUCACGAGGCGGGGGUGAAGAAGACGAAGUGGACGGGAACAAGUCGGGUGAGAGGUCCACUGGAGGGCGCGUGUCAAGGCGACCUAGUCCCCGAUGCUCACCACCCUGCGGUGCCACAGCAGCCGGGUGUGGCGGCGACUUGCAACGUACAGGGAGGCCAAACGCGCCCACACCGGGGUCCGGCCCUCCAAGAUGAGGUACGAGUGGUUGAGGCCGAGCAGAGGCCGCCGCCGGGCGCGCCGUCACAAGGGCUUCAGGCCGCCGCAGCGUCCGGGACGGCGGCGGCGCCGAAGAGACACGCCUGGUGCCAGAGCCCGAAGCAGCGACAUCGUCUCCGCCGAAGAAGGAGCCGUCCUCGAAACCUUGCCGCGUGGGGAAGCCGUGCAGCCGCGGUCCGACUCCGCCCCCUCCAGGGGCGAAACGGUCGGGGUCGCCAUCACGAUCAGACCCCCCAUCGCUGGACGGAGGUGAAGGGGAUGGAGUCGGCGAGCGCGAGCGGAAAUCCGUGACAUGGCGAAGCCGGAUGACGAUAUCGUAAAACAGUCCUUUCUUCAGCCUUAGGUAAGGCGGAAGGUUCCCCCAAAUACUCUGCAUCAUCGGGUCGUCGUAAGAUAUCUGCUGUUCAUGCUCUGCAAUCCAGAGCCUACAUCGCUUCGGGAUGCGGGCCGGGUCGUCAGUCCAUCCCUGCACCUUCAACAUCCGCCCGUCGCCGGGAGCAGACGCCACCUGCUCCACCCAGCAACCGGGAGCAAGGAUUUUCCUCGCUGUGCGGGCGCACCAGGCGUGCGCGGGGAUGCCAUCCAGCUCCAGAGACACACGAAAGAGGCAAGAGCCGGCGUUCGCCCGGACCAGCCGUGUCCAGGGGCGGAGGGAGAAGCGGAGGUCGCCAACCUGCACGAACCGCGCAUCCAUAGCCGCGUCCCUGGCGCGCUGCGACGUGAAGGAGACCAGAAAACUCUCGGGCCAGAAUUGGCGCACCGAGAAGUUGUCGGACCCAGCCACCGGCAAUUCAGCAAUCGCGCGGCGAAAUCCCUCAAUCGGCAGAUCCGCCGGAGCACCUGGAGCCGCCGCCAGAAGAGAGAACCGCAGGCGCUCCUCCUCCGCAUCCAUAGCAGCAUCUCUAGAUAGGAAGCAGGUGACUUCCCCGGGGCGGCAAUCAGGGUGACCGGGAGGGAAGUCGUUGAAGAAGAGCUCGUUGCCGAUGUCGUCAUCAGAGGGGGUGCCAGAGCCCGACGGCCCUUCGUGAAGCGGGGGCCGCGGCGGGUUCAGCUGCAGCGAUGACGCGGUCAUGGAUCCACGCGGGUGGGAGGUAGCAUUGCCCUCCCCCGCAACCGACCGGGGGGGCGGGGCGUCCGCCGAGCGAGCUCCAGGGAGAGGCGGUGAGGGAGUGCGGCCGCCGGCGUCGCGCCCACGAGGCGUCGGAGGGGAAUCCCGCCGGGCACGCACGAAGCAGCGCUCGUCCCCAACGCCGGAGGAGGCGGAGCUGACCGGGCUGCGCGGUCGCUUGCAAUCGCGGGCGAGGUGCCAGAACCCGUGACACCGGAAGCAACGGAUGGGGCGACGACAUUGGGCAAUGAGGUGACUGAAGGAAAGGCAGUUGAGGCAUCGACCAUUGAGCUCCGGCGGGAUGCCCUUCGCCGCAGGUCGGGGAUUGAGGGCCUCCAAGAACUGGCGCUGCGCCCGGCGUUGACGCCGACGCCUCCUGGACCGGGUGCGGCGACUCUCCGCUGUAGUCCAACCCUCGUCCGCCGCAGCAUUGGGCGGAGGCAGAGGAGCGGCUGCAGAUCGAACAGCCGGGGGGGCGUGGCCUCGUGGAGGGGGCCCGGGGGCCACAGAGGUCUGGCCGCGGCGCCCAAUGGGGCGGCGGCCGGCACCUCGCGGCCCAGGGGCGACGUCCCUUGCCGGGGGAGGGAGGCACGGGGGAGGCGCGGUGGGGUGGGAUGGGGGGGGGAGCCUUGACAGGUGGGGGGGGGGGGGGCGGCGGGCUGGAUAAGAGGAUGUCGCGGUAGGACGGUCGCGGGGAUCCUCCGUAGGAGGACGAGUCAGAUCCGGACUCGUCCCUCCAUCGGACCUGCUUGCCCCGACCGCCGGAAGUCCCCCCGGGGAAGAAGGGUUCCGCGCGGGGGGAGAGCCUUCGGGACGGGGAGGGGGAUCCUCCCAAAGUGGGGCUGGUGGUCACCGGUGCCGGAGUGGCCGCCGGUGAGGGGUGGUCGUGGGGACCGGGGGCGGCGCUCAACGGGGAGCGCGGGGAGCGGAGCGAAGCGAGAGCCAUCGAUAAUGCUUGGCCGUGUUUAUGACAUCGCACUUUAUAAUCGCCCAACAGGCCUUGUAAAAUGCCCCAGUGAAGCCAUCCGGUCCCGGUGCCUUGUCCGAUGGUAUGUCUAGUAUUGCAUGUUUAAUUUCCUCCUCCGUGAAAGGUUCGGCGAGGGAGCUGAGGUCCAGACUGGGGAGAUUUAUGCUGUCCCAGUUAACGUCCUGUGAUCGUUGUCCCGUCGGUCCCAUUAUCGUAGCGAAGUGGUCUUGAAUUAUGUUGACUUUUUCUUCGUAAUUGAAGACCCAAAUGGAUCCUUGUUUUAGUCGUUGAAUGUAGUUUUUCUUCUUCCUUCCAUUAACCCUCCGAUGGAAGUAUUUGGUAUUAGCAUCACCUAAUUUGAUAUUCGUAAUGUGUGAUGCUUGUUUCCGUCUGACCCUUUCAACCACCUCUAGGCCGAGGAUUCUUCGCUUAAGUUUUUGCUGCAGGUUCAAUUCGUCCCUGGUGAGGGCUCUAUGCUCUUGCGCCAUAUCUAAUCUGAGGACGACAUCACACGCCAUGAGAAGCUACAUCUUGGCAUCCGGGUAAAAGUUGUGGCUCCAGGCUCUAAGCAUUUGGGAAGUUUCCCGUAACUUGUGAUACAGGCGGUGAAAAGUCUCGUGGUGAGCGCAGGGCUUACUCCAAGCUUCGACUACUACCUCCUUGAAGCGUGGCAAUCUCAGCCAAAACGCCUCGAACUGGAAUGUCCUUGGCCGUCAUGGUCCACUUUGAUUGGAAAGGAGUAGUGGGCAGUGAUCCAAGUGUGAUGUUGAAAGUGCAUGUAGAGCGUGGGAGGCAAAUAAGGCAUCACCUUCCGUAUUACAGAACAUUCGGUCGAGUCUGACAAGCGUCGGAUUUUGUUGCUCAUUGCUCCAUGUGAAGUGGCGGUUCUGAAGUGGAAUUUCCUUGAGCUCGCAAUCACUAAUCGCCUCCCUGAAUAGACUCAUCAUUCUAGUAUUUAGCCUAGAAUUGUUCUUGUCCGCGGCUCUGUAUAUGAGGUUAAAAUCCCCCAUAAUAAUUCACGGUGUCCCACUGGAAGGCUUAAGUGUUAGCAUUUCUUGUAAGAAGGCUCUCUUUUGCCCCUGACUGGAUGGUCCGUAGACAUUUGACAGUCUGAAGGUUUCGCCAUCAUGUAGUGAAAUAGAGGCUGAUAAGUGAAACAUCCCCACGGUAAUCUGUGAGACCUGCACUACCCUCUCAUCCCACAGUAUCAGCAGUCCUCCUCUUGUACCUGAAGCUCCUGUGGCUGGCGCGAAAGCGGUUUUGGUUAGCCUGUACCCACCCAAGUAAGACGCGGUGAAGUCAUCUAUCUGUGCAAGCUUGGUUUCCUGGAAACAUGCAAUGGCGCACGUCGUGUUGGCCACAAUCUGGUGAACUACAUCCUUACGGGCUUGCUGAUUAAGACCCCGUACAUUCCAACAUAAUACAUCAACGUCGGGGCCGAUCAUCUGAAACAGCACGGCGCUUCUCAGUGUUCUUCAGGCCUAAACGGCCGAAGCAUUCAAACCCCUGCUGACGGCCGAAAGACGCACAGAGAGUGUCACAGAGCAAUGAAGAUGACUUGCAAAAUAUCAGUUGCAACAUGUUUUGCAGCUUGAAAUUACAAGCAUAUUGAAUAAGUCUUGCAACAUGUUGAAGGCGUACAGGAAGUCUUGCAACACACAGCCACCAUCUGAACAUGUUUUGCAGCUUGAAAUUACAACCACAUUGAAUAAGUGUUGCAACAUGUUGACCUGACAAGAUGAAUCAGUAUGCUGCUGUUGGAAAAGAAAAGGACAGCAAAGUAUUUGUAGAUUAGAUUAUACCUUUUUCUGAAUAUUCACUAUCAGGCACUCGUUUAGAUGAUGUGUGCCAAUAGGUUACCAUCCCUAAUUUUCAGCACAUUAGGUUUUCAGUGCUUAAGUGGCGCUUUCCAGAAGUUGUCAGAACUCAGAAAUGACAUAUCAACUUCUGCUGGCAUUCUGAGUACGUAGUGAUUUCUCUGCUGAUAUGUCAUUUCUGAUGAAAAUAACUAUGUAUUGUGAAUAUUUUUUCAUGAUGACUAGUGGCAUGCUGCAAAUUUACGUAAUUAUCCUAUGGAGUAACGUGUGUGCGCUUUUAUGUCCAAUAGUGUUGAUUCAAUGGGUAUAAUAGUUCAUUUAACACAAUCUUCUACCCAUACCCCUUUUCCAGGUGUAAACCAACACAUGGCUACCAGUUUACCAGAAUGAGGAGGAGAUUCUUGGUUGCUGGCAAAAAUUAGCAUUCCUUCCAUUAUGCUUUUGACUCCUACAGUACCUUUGUAGUGUGUAGUACUUAAGUUACUAUUGUUGUUUACAAAUCUUUAUCUGUGUGCUGCAUUCUCGCACUGCUGAAUUGUUGCAAUGUGGAUUUUUACACAUUUAGUAUACAUUCCCUCCAUCCCAAAUUAUAAAGUCGUUUUGGGUUUUCUAGGUUCAUACAUUUUACUAUGCAUUUAGACAUAAUAUAUAUCUAGUGCAUAGCAAAAACCUAUGAAUCCUCUUCAUUCAAGAAAAUAGGUACUCCUGAAAAUGAGGCUUUGGUGCAUCAUCAGUUCAUCGCAGGCGUUGGCGUGACUGCAUCGAGCCAUCGAAUACGUAUGUUGUGUAGGCAACUUGGGCCGUGCACUUGAUCUUGCAUGUUGGGCUGGUCUAUGCAAAGUAUGAAUGAAGUGGUCCGUCCGAAAUCCUUUUCAAAAUUUUUGCAUGUAUGCAGAGAUGGCGAGUGCGACUGGGGGGUACUGACCGAGAACACUUGGAUGGCCUGAUGACCCAAGUGCGGGGAUGGACGGAAGACUUUCUGGAAAAGCUGAAGGAUCAACCACCUGGAGAAUCGUUUAUCUGAAGAAUCUGUGUCUUUACUUUCUUAUAUCUCUGUGUGGUAGAAGUUUGUUUGCUGUAGUGUCGAGGGUUGAGCUCGUGUGCUCUCUUCUGCUCGUUAUCUGUAAGCUGGUAUCCCCAGUGUGUCGCAAGGUCUGUAACCCAAACCUUAUUGGCUUUCUAUAAAAGCAGGGUGAACCCUUUUUCAAAAAAAAAAAGUGGUCCGUCUUUGAACUGGGCCGUAUUGAUCGUGGUCAGGGUCGAAAUGACAAAUGAGUCAGCAUUCAAACACAGACAGAUCGUCUUUUCGGUUUCUUCUUGUGCGGGAGUUUUCAGUUUUGAGUCCAUAGCAAUUAGCAAAACCCCAACCUUUUUCGGAUUCACUGAAAAAAAAAACUUAUUUAGGCCUAACUCCCACACUCCCAAACAAAGUGCACGCUCCGAUUCAUAGACUGCAACGACGAGACCCGGGUGGUCUCCUAUGUUGAGCCCGGCGAAUAUAUGCUGCUGUGGUGGCAGGUCUUCACGAUCCUCUAGGAUCGUCCACCAUGAAAGACACCAUGAUUGGCCCGGACACAAGCACAAGUGAAAGGUGACGAGAGAAACCAUAGCACAUCGAUCGGCCCAGGCACUAGCACGACGAUGAAGGCCUAGAUCGAGUCAGCAUGCCGUAUACGGGGAUAGGGAUCGAUUCGAUCCCUCCGCUCCCCUCCAAUCUCCAUGAUAUGUUCAACUGAGAGGAGAAAGGUUAUUCUCCAUAGCUAGGAGCGAAGACAUGAUGAGUGUGUCUCCUGUGACUGCAGCCACUUACAAAGGGACAUUCUGGAGAUCAUUUGCAGUGUACGACUGUCGAUAUGAUCGAUCUCCUGGUAGAAUUUUCUUUUCUGACCGAGGAUAUUUCUGCUGAUAGGCACAUGAUUAGGUAAUUUCCUUUCGGGAACAUGACAAAAGAAAAAGGAAGUGCUUCCUCUGUUGAGCCGUGCAAGCGCCUCAUCUAACCGAAGGAGAGCUAUGAAUGAUCUAGUCAUGGAGGUCCACCGACCACCAGGAGGACAAGAACGUGUUCUCAGGUAACAUUUUUAUUUUGAAAAGCUUAGCAGGAGCACUGCUGAUUCAUUUAAUACGCUGAUUCAUUUAAGAAGUACGAUAAGUUCAAUAUUACAUAAAUAACUCUCUUAACUGUAACAUUAAUGAUAACAUGGAUACACUAACCUAAAUCAAGGUUCCCACAUGCUCUCUUGCGCCAAUUGAUGUCCUCUUGGAUCAUGGCAAAAACUUGGUGAGGCUGCAAACUUCUUCCUUCAAAGACUCGCCGGUUUGGAUCAUGGCAAAAACUUGGUGAGGCUGCAAACUUCUUCCUUCAAAGACUCGCCGGUUUCGCUCCUUCCAUAUGUUCCAUGCUGUGAAUAUGAGAUAGGCUACCACCGAUCUUCUUUGCUUCUUGUUGAACGGUGACAAGGACCGUUUCCACCAUUCUUCAACAUCCACCAAGUCAUCCUCCAGCAUUUUGAUUUGUCCUCCAGUCCAGUUACUUACUAAAAGCCAUACUUCCUUUGCAAAACUACACUGUAAACACAAAUGUAUCGCAGUCUUGGCCUCCUGAUCACAUAGUGCACACUGGGUCUCACAUUGCCAAUUUCUGGCAAUCAUCUUAUUAGCGGUCAGGAUUUUACUUUGAACUAGGAGCCACGCAAAAAACUUAUGCUUUCCUUCCGCAUGAGCUUGCCAGACUGCCUCUCCAUCAAAUGUGCUAUAGGUUCCAUUCAGUCGUGCAAUGUAAGUUGAUCUUGAAGUGUAAGAACCAUCGGCUGUCCAUUUCCAUUUAAUUGUAUCCUCCUGGUCACUGAGAUGCACAUUCUGCACCAAAUCCCAUAGGGUGACGAACUCCGCCAUCUGCUGCACUGAGUUUAUACGCCACAACCCUCUUGUCCAAUUUUGAUCAGUUAUGUCUUCUCUUACAGUCUUGUUUUUCUCCAUGCAAGCUUAUACAAACUUGGUGCUAUAUCUCUCGGCGCUCGACCAUCAAUCCAAGAAUGCUGCCAGAAUUUUGCUUGGUUUCCAUUUUCCAAAAUUACAGUCGUGCUUGCCUGAACAACUAUUUGUCAACUUCAUCACAAGGUGUGGUUGUUCCAACCCAUGGCCUGUCAGUGUGGUUGUGUCCAUUCAUACUUUAUAACCAAUGUAGUUGAAAAGCCCGACUAAAUAUGUUUAGGUCAAGGAUGCCUAGUCCACCUAAUUCCUUUGGCAAAGUUGCCUUCUGCCAUUUCAUCAAACAAUGGCCUCCACUGGCAUGCUCAGCCUUUCCACAAGAAAUUCCUUCUGAUCUCGUCUAUCUUUUUUAGAGCCUAUUUCUUUAGUGCAAAAACUGUGAUGAAGUAGAUUGGCAUCGAGGUUAACACUGAUCGGACCAAGGUGAGCCUUCCUAAUUUAUCCAAUAAUUUUCCUUUCCAUGUAGGCAGCUUAGCUGCAACUCUAUCAAUUAGUGGCUGCACUUCCAUUCUCUUCAGUUUUCUCAAACUAAGUGGUAGUCCUAGGUACUGACAAGGAAAGCUUUUGACUUGGCAUGAAAAGCUCUGUAGUAUGUCAUCUACAUCUAUGUUUUCACACCGAAUUGGGUAAGCAGCACUUUUGUCCAGGUUUAUGUGUAGUCCUGACACUCGUCUAAAUGCAUCAAAGAUUUUUCUAAUCUUCUCAAUUUCUUUCUUCACUGGAUUCACAAACACCGCAGCAGCAUCAGCAUACAGGCUUAUUCUAAUCUUGCUCGCCCUAUUCUGAACAGGUGACAAUGCAGCCUGACGUUCAGCCAUUCUUAGCAGCAUCUGUAGUGGCUCAAGAGCAAUAAUGAAGAGCAUUAGUGAUAGUGGAUCUCCUUGAUGAAGUCCAGUUCUAUGCUUAAAUUUUCUUGUUUGUGAUUUAUUUAUCAGUACCGAGGAUGUUGCUCUGACAGUAUCAAACGCCUUUGCAAUAUCUAACUUGAGAAAGAGUGUUGACCUCUUUGCCUUAUGGAGAUCUCUGAUAAGAUUCCGAGUGUAAAGAAAAUUAUCAUGAAUACUUCUUCUUUUUAUGAAAGCACUUUGAUUCCUAGACACCAGAUCACUGAGACACUGUGCUAGCCUUGUUGCCAGUAUCUUGGAUAUAAUUUUUGCAACAUUGCUUGUUAGGCUUAUGGGCCUGUAAUCGGCCACCUUCUUUGAUUCAACCUUCUUUGGGAUCAUAACAAUGAGUGCUGAAUUUAGAGUAUUAAAGUGCUGACUAUGCUGGUUGUAGAAAUAUUGUACAGCUUGCUUCAAAUCAUCUUUGAUAAUGUCCCAACAACUCUUGAAGAACUUCCUAAUAAAACCAUCUGGCCUAGGUGCCUUUUCAGAUUGCAUAUCCAUGAUGACCCCCUUAAUUUCUUCCUCUAUGAAGUCCUCCUCCAGGAAUUGUAGAUCAUGCCUUUGGAUGUUCAAUGCUUCCCAAUUUAGAGUUUCAGUUCUGAUAGCCUUAUUUCCAAACAAUGUUUGGAAGUGAUCUAGCACUACUUGUUCCUUAUCCUUCUGAAGGUGUACCAUUCCAUGUGAUGUUUCUAUGGUCUGAAUAAAAUUUUUCCUCUUCCUACCAUUCACUCCUAGAAAGAAGAAUUUUGAAUUUGAAUCUCCUGCUUUGAUAUAAGUGAGUCUGGAUUGCUGUCUAUAUCUUAACUUCUCAAUGGCCGUCAGUGCUAGGUAUCUAUUUUUAGAUCUCUUUUAAGAAGUAACUCAUCAUUGCUCAGUGCUCUAUGCUCUUGCACCACAUCAAGAAUCCCAAUCAGUUGUCUUGCUGCUAGCAGAAGAAGUUUGUUGUUCCCAAUCUUCGCCUUAGCCUAAGCUCUCAAUCUCUUUGUCGUUCUCUACAUUUUAGUAUGCAACUUCAGGAAGGUGUUAUGUAUGGUAAUUUGUUUGUUACAGGUGUUACUGACUUCCUCCUUAAAUCCUCUUAUUUGGGUCCAGAAUGCCUCAAAUCUAAAAUCCUUGUAAGUUGUCAGAGUAUUGUCACAUGUGAGUAAUAGUGGGCAAUGGUCAGAUACCAAUGCGGAUAUGACCUGUAGCAUACAAUUUGGUAGCAUAGUCUCCCAAUCAGUAGUGCAGAAAACCCUAUCAAUAUGAGUGUGAGUAACAUUAUUUGUCCAUGUAUACUUCCUGCCUCUGAGGUUGAAUUCUUUCAAUUCAAGAUCAUCAACUGCACUUCUGAAUGUCCCCGUGAUUCUUCUGUUCAGAUUGUCAUUGCUCUUGUCUUGUGCAUUUAAGAUCAUGUUAAAGUCACCAAGCAUCACCCAUUUGUCUUAUGUCAACAACUUAAUUUCCCUUAUCUCAUUUAGAAAUUCAAGCUUUGCAUUGUCUUCUUGAGGUCCAUAUACCACCGUGAUCCACCAUUGUACUGGUGUCAUUGUGGCCUCUAAACAUGCUGUGACAGAGUUUGUUUUGCAAAA